AUUGAACGCUGGCGGCAGGCCUAACACAUGCAAGUCGAACGGUAACAGGAAGCAGCUUGCUGCUUUGCUGACGUGUGGCGGACGGGUGAGUAAUGUCUGGGAAACUGCCUGAUGGAGGGGGAUAACUACUGGAAACGGUAGCUAAUACCGCAUAACGUCGCAAGACCAAAGAGGGGGACCUUCGGGCCUCUUGCCAUCGGAUGUGCCCAGAUGGGAUUAGCUAGUAGGUGGGGUAACGGCUCACCUAGGCGACGAUCCCUAGCUGGUCUGAGAGGAUGACCAGCCACACUGGAACUGAGACACGGUCCAGACUCCUACGGGAGGCAGCAGUGGGGAAUAUUGCACAAUGGGCGCAAGCCUGAUGCAGCCAUGCCGCGUGUAUGAAGAAGGCCUUCGGGUUGUAAAGUACUUUCAGCGGGGAGGAAGGGAGUAAAGUUAAUACCUUUGCUCAUUGACGUUACCCGCAGAAGAAGCACCGGCUAACUCCGUG
rnacentral:rRNA from 1 species